AUACGGAGGGUGCAAGCGUUACUCGGAAUCACUGGGCGUAAAGCGCGCGCAGGCGGGCUGAUAAGUUGGAUGUGAAAGCCUACGGCUCAACCGUAGAACUGCAUCCAAAACUGUCAGUCUAGAGUGUGGGAGAGGAAGAUGGAAUUAGUUGUGUAGGGGUAAAAUCCGUAGAGAUAACUAGGAAUACCAAAAGCGAAGGCAAUCUUCUGGAACACUACUGACGCUGAGGCGCGAAGGCGUGGGGAGCAAACAGGAUUAGAAACCCUCAGUAGUCC
rnacentral:rRNA from 1 species